GAUGAACGCUGGCGGCGUGCCUAAUACAUGCAAGUAGAACGCUGAAGGAGGAGCUUGCUCUUCUGGAUGAGUUGCGAACGGGUGAGUAACGCGUAGGUAACCUGCCUGGUAGCGGGGGAUAACUAUUGGAAACGAUAGCUAAUACCGCAUGACAACAGUUAUUGCAUGAUAACUGUUUAAAAGGGGCAACUGCUCCACUACCAGAUGGACCUGCGUUGUAUUAGCUAGUUGGUGAGGUAACGGCUCACCAAGGCGACGAUACAUAGCCGACCUGAGAGGGGGAUCGGCCACACUGGGACUGAGACACGGCCCAGACUACUACGGGAGGCAGCAGUAGGGAAUCUUCGGCAAUGGACGGAAGUCUGACCGAGCAACGCCGCGUGAGUGAAGAAGGUUUUCGGAUCGUAAAGCUCUGUUGUAAGAGAAGAACGAGUGUGAGAGUGGAAAGUUCACACUGUGACGGUAUCUUACCAGAAAGGGACGGCUAACUACGUG
rnacentral:rRNA from 1 species